UGGGGAAUUUUGGACAAUGGGCGCAAGCCUGAUCCAGCAGUGCCGCGUGCAGGAUGAAGGCCUUCGGGUUGUAAACUGCUUUUGUACAGAACGAAAAGCCCUGGGUUAAUACCCUGGGGUCAUGACGGUACCGUAAGAAUAAGCACCGGCUAACUACGUGCCAGCAGCCGCGGUAAUACGUAGGGUGCGAGCGUUAAUCGGAAUUACUGGGCGUAAAGCGUGCGCAGGCGGUUUUGUAAGACAGAGGUGAAAUCCCCGGGCUCAACCUGGAACUGCCUUUGUGACUGCAAGGCUAGAGUACGGCAGAGGGGGAUGGAAUUCCGCGUGUAGCAGUGAAAUGCGUAGAUAUGCGGAGGAACACCGAUGGCGAAGGCAAUCCCCUGGGCCUGUACUGACGCUCAUGCACGAAAGCGUGGGGAGCAAACAGGAUUAGAUACCCUGGUAGUCCACGCCCUAAACGAUGUCAACUGGUUGUUGGGUCUUAACUGACUCAGUAACGAAGCUAACGCGU
rnacentral:rRNA from 1 species